CUGCAGAGAGCCCCAUCAGCAAGGAGACCCUCACCAGGGUAGCCUCUCGACUUCGGAUUUCCAGAACUAAAGUUUUUGAAGCCAGCAGCAAAGUGGCGCAACAGGAACAAAGUGCUCUGUGAUGCUGGACCCACAUGGGAUGGCCCCAGGAGAGAGGUGCUGAAAAAUUCCAUGCUCAGGAAGGCCCAUGCUAGAAGAGCAAAUAGACUGGCCAUGUGUAA